UACAGAGGUCUCAAGCGUUGUUCGAAUUCAUUGGGCGUAAAGGGUGCGUAGGCGGCGCGGUAAGUCGGAUGUGAAAUCUCGGAGCUUAACUUCGAAACUGCAUUCGAUACUGCCGUGCUUGAGGACUGGAGAGGAGACUGGAAUUUACGGUGUAGCGGUGAAAUGCGCAGAUAUCAGGAAGAACACCCGUGGCUAAGGCGGCUCUCUAGUACGGUACUGACGCUGAGACGCGAAAGCGUGGGGAGCGAACAGG
rnacentral:rRNA from 1 species